AUAUAUAUAUCAACCUUCUCUUGUUGAGUGGUUUGGAUGUGGGGGUUUGCUGGGCCUCUUAAAAAGAGGUUCAGCUCCUCUGAAAUGCAUUAGCAGAACAACCUUGUUCAUUGGUGUGAUAACUAUCUACGCUAUUGAAUGUGAGGGACAGUUCAGCUUUCUAACAGUCCUCGGACAAUUCAUUAUUA
rnacentral:misc_RNA from 1 species